ensembl:lncRNA
GUCGGUGACACCGGGCGGUUGUACCGAGAGGUUGUACAGGAGAAACGAACAGGUUUGACGAGAUCGGCUUUUUUCUUUACUUGGUCAAAGUUCCUGCGCACGGGACCUGAGGAUGGAAUAGAGCCGGAAGGACAUGGCCGCCUGCUGUCCUGACAUCCUAAAUGAACAACAAGAAGACACAAAGCAGAGUUCAUCUCAGCCUCUCCCAGUCCGCGUUCAUUAUUCUACAUCAUUUAGCCAUUAGCACCAUUCAUUAGCCUCCCGGCAGUGAGUGCCUCUUAUGUGGUCUCUCUACAGGCAGGAAACAACUAAACGCUCCAGGCAACACCCAUAUUCUCCACAUCCUGUCACUCAGGGAGACACAAGCUGUUCAGAUGCAAAACACAACAAUAAUCAUAUAGAUGCCAUUAACAUUUUAUUACCAGAUGGUGCUUCGCUUCAUAAGUGGAUGAUGGAUGUUCACAAAAUGAAUGCCACACGUUGGACAUACAUUAGUUAUUAGCGUGUCUGGUUCUAUGAGGAGCAGUCCUCACCACCUUCCACCCCUGCCAACGUACAUCUCAGAAAACUAGAAAACCCAACUUGAGUAAGCUCAUUAAAAUAUCUUUACAAUGAAACACAACUCAGUUAACAUCUGUUAAACCAUACAGUUAGAAAAUAGCAAUAAAAUAAUAUUUCAACUACAAUAAAGCAUCCAUCAUUGAAAAGUCAAUGAUGAAAAGUACAUUUUAGUGCUUACCACUAUAGUGCUAACCACUUCAGUGCUAACCACUGUAAUGCUAACAACUGUAGUGCUAACCAAUGUAGCGCUAACCACUGUAAUGUUAACCUACUGUAGCGCUAACCACUGUAAUGCUAACAACUGUAGUGCUAACCAAUGUAGCGCUAACCACUGUAAUGCUAACCACUGUAGCGCUAACCACUUCGGGGCUAACUACUAUGGUGCUAACCACUGUAGUGCUAACCAGUGUAGUGCUAACCAGUGUAGUGCUAACCACUGUAAUGCUAACCACUGUAGUGCUAACCACUGUAGCACUAACCACUUCAGUGCUAACUACUAUGGUGCUAACCAGUGUAGUGCUAACCACUGCAGUGCUAACCACUGUAGCGCUAACCACUUCAGUGCUAACUACUAUGGUGCUAACCAGUGUAGUGCUAACCAC